rnacentral:rRNA from 1 species
UAAUACGUAGGGUGCAAGCGUUGUUCGGAAUUACUGGGCGUAAAGGGGGAGUAGGCGGAAAGAAAAGUCAGAUGUGAAAGCCCUGUGCUUAACGCAGGAAGAGCAUUUGAAACUAUCUAACUAGAGUGUAUUAUGGGAGCGUGGAAUUCCUAGUGUAGCGGUGAAAUGCGUAGAUAUUAGGAGGAAGACUCGUGGCGAAGGCGACGCUCUGGGGUAACACUGACGCUGAGGACCGAAAGCAUGGGGAGCAAACAGGAUUAGAUACCCUGGUAGUCCAUGCCGUAAACGAUGAGAGCUACUCGUAGGUUUCGUUGACGAAAUCUGUGGGUGAGUAAACACAUUAAGCUCUCCGCCUGGGAAGUACGGUCGCAAGAUUAAAACUCAAAGGAAUUGACGG